UCAUCCUCCCUCCUUCGCACCUGAUUCCACCAGGGCUGGGACCAACCAUUCUUCAGAUCCAUACGAUUUCACUUCAGACAUGAUUCUCAUGUCAUGCAUGCUCGGCAUUAUGAAAAGGUAUUCUAUGCUUAAGAUCAUCAGGUUUCCAACUGUACAUUCUUUCAAAUCCUUACAAAAAAUGAUGCAGAGAAAUGGACAACAGCAGAAAUGACAGUACUGCGUUGGCAUGUCACAGGUGCUCCCUAGACGUUAACUCACUCAAUUACCCCUACAGUCCCGUGAGCUAGGAACCCCAGUUUAUAGACAUGGACACAGAGGCUUAUAGGUGGCAGGACUUGUCCCCUUCAUGCAGCUCGUCGAAGGUGGAGCCAGGGAGAUUUGGAUCGGGGGUCCAGCCUCCGUGCAUGCAAGGUCACUGCUGAGCGCUGUGCACCUCUGUUGCUAUGUCUUGUGGCUGAACUUUUGGUUUCAUGCACUGACAGGCCCUUCUCAUGGAAUCCAUCCAGACAGCUUUGCUCCUGAUCCUAGGACCCUCCUUGAUUAAAUUCCCUUCACAAACAGAUUUUUCUCUUGUAGGAGGAAAUCCAAAUAAAUACAUGUUUUCAGUGCUCGUUACAAACUCUGUGGACAAAUUCUACACGGAAGAAGAUCCAAAAAGCCACUGGUCAGGGAUGAUUAGUCCCAAAUAUCCAAAAUCUGUCCUUGAAAGUGAGACUUAUCUUUUACCAGAUGAUACCUGUACCUCUCACCUACAAUAAUUCUCUUCCAAGAGCAACAAAUAUGCAGCUGGACACAUGUGGCAAGAUCUGUCCUUCUAAAUCACUCUUCCUGGAGUUAAAGAAAACAUUGUCUGGACAUUGUUGUGAUAAACUCCUGACCUCGGGUGAUCUGCCUGACUCGGCCUCCCAAACUGCUGAGAUUACAGGCGUGAGCCACCACGCCUGGUCACAUUCCACUUCUUGAAAAGCACGAAUUAUUUUUUACUGUGUCAGAAAAAGCUAUCUCAGUUUUAAAUGCAGGUAAGGGCUGGCACCAGAGCCCCCAUCCUGUCCAGCUGUGACCCGGCCUUGCAUCUUCCCCUUCUCCCUGCCUCCAAAAUAGAAAGGCAGGCAUAGAAAUAAUAUGUCCAUUUCUAUAAAAAGAUUUUCCAUGAGCUCCUUUUUAUGAUUCAUGAUUUGAAUAGGAAGAAAUCACAGUGGCAAAAGGGAGGGAGAUCUGACUUGGGAAACCUGAGAUUAGAUGCAACGAGGGCACUAUUACCCUUGACCUCAGUAUUGCACUGGGAGUGCAAGCUGACCUUGCACAAGAAAAACUGCCAAAGUCCCUGAGGAUGAAUCAUUGCUCCCUGCGGGUAAGAUCAUCCUGCAGCUGCCCAGGUACCCUGAGAGCAAGAUAAAAGGAAAGACUCACUUCCCAAAACAACGAUAUCAAAUAGUCAGAAAUGCAGUGGCUGCAGUCAGUGGCUCCCUGGGCAACACCUCAUGCCCUUCCAACAGGAACAGGACACUGGCGAGGUUGCAGAGAAAAGGGAACAUUUAUACACUGUGGGUGAGAGUGUAAAUUAGUUCAACCAUUGUGGAAAGCAGUAUAGUGAUUCCUCCAAGAGCUAAAAACAGAACUACCAUUUGACCCAGCAAUCCCAUUACUGGGAAUACACCCAGAGGAAUACAAAUCAUUCUACCAUAAAGACACAUGUACGUGAAUGUUCAUUGCAGCACUCUUCACAAUACCGACAACAUGGAAUCAACCUAAAUGCCCAGCGAUGACAGAUUGGAUAAAGAAGAUGUGGUACAUAUACAUCAUGAAAUACUAUGCAGCUACAAAAAAAGAAUGAGAUCAUGUCUUUUGUGGGAACAUGGAUGGAGCUGGAGGCCAUUAUCCUUAGCAAACUAAUGCAGGAACAGAAAGCCAAAUACUGCAUGUUCUCACUUGUAAGUGAGGGCUAAAUGAGGGAACACAUGAACACAAAGAGGUGAACAACAGACACUGGGGUCUAGGAGGAGAGAGAGGAGCAGAAAAGAUAACACUUGGGUACUAGGCUUAAUACCUGGGUGAUGAAAUAAUAUGUACAACAAACCCCUAUGACAACAGUUUACCUAUAUAACAAACCUGCACAUGUACCCCAAACCUAAAAUAAAAGUUUAAAAAAAGGCAUCUCCAUGCCCGACACACUGCAUUUUUCUAGGAUGAAUACGCAGUGUGCAUAAGCAGCAAGUGACGGGCCCUCCUCUUAUGACCAUUCCUAUAAAAUCAUGUUAGAAUGAUCCUGGAGGGAAAAAGCCUACCACAGGAAUAGCUGGUGUGGAGAAACGACCAUAGGGCAUUAAAAACACAGACAAUUUUCUUCAGGAAUAAAUGGCAAUAUUCCAUUUGCUAAAAGUGGAAAGUUUUCUCUGUUGUUAAACAGCUACACUGGGCUGUGUGCAAUCACUCAUGCCUGUAAUCCCAGCACUUUGAGAGGCCAAGACAGGUGGAUCACCUGAGGUCGGGAGCUGGAGACCAGUCUGGCCAACAUGGUGAAACCCUGUCUCUACUAAAAAUACAAAAAAAAAAAAAAAAAAAAAAUUAGCCGGGCGUGUUGGCACAUGCCUGUAAUCCCAGCUACUCGGGAGGCUAAGGCAGGAGAAUCAUUUCAACCCAGGAAAUGGAGGUUGCAGUGAGCUGAGAUGGCACCACUGCACACCAGCCUGGGUGACAGAGCGAAACUCCGUCUCAAAAAAAAAAAAAAAUAGGUACAGUGGUUGGCUAUGUAACUCUGAGCAAGGGUUCACAGGCUCUAAGAAAACUUGGUUCAAUUUGCAGUCUUCAAAAGAUAGGAGAGUGAAAUCCCAGAAUCAGACCUUCUGAUGCAAAUAAAAUAUUGCCGCCUGGUUUAUGAUUACAGUAAUUUUGUACUAUUGCAUAUACACAGUCCUGACAACUGUAAGCAAGGAAAAGAUCAUCUUUCAAGAAUUCAUUCUUGGAUAUUUCUGUGUUUACAGAAUAAUUCUCUUCCAAGAGCAAUAAAUAUGCAGCUGGACACAUGUGGCAAGAUCUGUCCUUCUAAAUCACUCUUCCUGGAGUUAAAGAAAACAUUGUCUGGACAUUCUUGUGAUAACAUCACAAGAUGAGGCUCUUGAGCACUUGAAUUAUUAUUCUGAAACCCAACAUAUAAAUAUCCUUUGUAAUGCAGCCAUCUCGGGUUGGAGCAGCCAUGCUGGCACAAGAUUCAAUGCUUUCCUGUAAUUGUUCAGUUAUUGGCCUUGAAAGUGGCUGUCAUUUAUUUCAUCACAAUUGAGAGCUGUUUUUCCAACAUAUAUAUUUUUCCGAUAAAGGGUGCGAUUUAGCUGUGGGACAAGAGGCUCACUGCCCAUUCUGUGCCCACAAACAUAAGAAUAAUAAUUUGGGAAUUUGAAAUAAGAACCAAGAAAGGACAGAGAACUAUAAAUCGUGGAAUUGUAAAACCUGGAAACAAAUCCCCAGAUUAUCUAUGACAACUUCCUCAUUCUAUGGAUGGAAAAACUGAAGCCCAGGCAUAUUUAUGAAAAAGAGGGUCC